AUGGCUCCAUCGCCUACCUGGCGGGGCAGGGGAGGGAUGGGAGGCCCCGGCGCGGGAGAGGGAUGUGGGCCCGCGUGCUCCGUGCGCGGACCGCCUUCCCUCCUCUCCCUCCACCUGGUCCGCUGCGCCCGGAGUUUGCACACAGCGCAGCUGGAAAAUGUUACUUCGCUGGAAAGGUUUCCGCGGGCACUGCCAGGAUCCCAGCCGCCGCGCCAGGCCCCCUCGGCUUAUUUUCUUCGCCAGUCCCGCAGCCUCCCGGAGCGUGGGGCGCCCGCCUGGCCGGGGGCUCGGCCCGGGCACCGCCCCCUCUGCGCCGCGGCCUUGGGUGCCCGGCGCCUCGCCGCCCCCGCGCGCGGGCCAGGCAGGUGGGAGCCGCGCCGCCCGCGCCCCAUCCCUCCCGCUUCCCGCCCGCGGCGCGGCCCGCGCUUACUUGUGCGGCCCUGGGCGCAGCCGCGGGCGCCAUCCCGUCGUGUAGAGGCUGUAGCGGGAGGCACCGGGCGGCGCGGGCCGCGCGAGAAGCGGAGUGCCCUUGGCCUGCGCCCCCGAGAGCAGCGCCGCGACGGCGCACAGCCAGACCGGCAGGCGGCGGCGGCCCAUCGCGGCCCCGGGUCUCCACCUGGCCCCGCGCGGGAACCCCCGCCGGGUGUCCGCCCGCCGCUCGCCCGCCCGGGUCCCGCCGCCAGUUGCGGCCCCCGGAGCUCGCUGGCCCGGCCGCCUGGCGCUUCGCAGCGGCUGCGUCCCGCGGAGUGGCCGGCGCUGCUCGCGGCUGGGGCCGCGGAGGGGAGGCGGGAGGCGGGCUCUGCGCGGAUUAGCAUAAACUUGGGGCCGCGUCGCUCUCCUCCGCCAGCCCCCUCUCCGCCGCCAGCCCCCCGCCCCAGCUCUGAGCUGACGCCCGAGGGGCCGCCUGCAAGCAAGAGGUUAAGAAGGGAGCAGCCCCGAAGUGGCAGGGGCGCAGGCCGUCGCGCUGUGGGAGGCCCCAAAACACACCCACCCACCGCCGUCACCCGCAUGCACCGGGCGAAAGGCAGAGACAGACCGCUGGAGCAGGCCGGGGCGCGGGGCUCUCCAAGAGCUGCCCACCGCAGGACACACAGUGGUCUUAAAAGCCGGUGUGCGCCCGGGGACCGCGGUCCAGGGCUCUGGAGCUGA
rnacentral:lncRNA from 1 species